rnacentral:rRNA from 1 species
AGUGAACGCUGGCGGUAGGCCUAACACAUGCAAGUCGAACGGCAGCACAGUAAGAGCUUGCUCUUACGGGUGGCGAGUGGCGGACGGGUGAGGAAUACAUCGGAAUCUACUUUUUCGUGGAGGAUAACGUAGGGAAACUUACGCUAAUACCGCAUACGACCUACGGGUGAAAGCAGGGGAUCUUCGGACCUUGCGCGAUUGAAUGAGCCGAUGUCGGAUUAGCUAGUUGGCGGGGUAAAGGCCCACCAAGGCGACGAUCCGUGGCUGGUCUGAGAGGAUGAUCAGCCACACUGGAACUGAGACACGGUCCAGACUCCUACGGGAGGCAGCAGUGGGGAAUAUUGGACAAUGGGCGCAAGCCUGAUCCAGCCAUACCGCGUGGGUGAAGAAGGCCUUCGGGUUGUAAAGCCCUUUUGUUGGGAAAGAAAAGCAGCAGGUUAAUACCCCGCUGUUCUGACGGUACCCAAAGAAUAAGCACCGGCUAACUUCGUG